GAACAAUCAAAAAGACAAAAAAGUAACAGUAUGAGACAUGAAAUGAACAAAUUGGGGCAACAACAAUCAUAAAAAGACGCAAAAUGAUCACAAAGAGACACAACAAUUAACAAAGAAAGACAAAAGCAUCAGAAUGUCUAUUAUUGUUUGUUAGAUCAGUUGUUUAUCGUCUGAAACUCUGCUUCUGUUGUUAUUUUUUCAGGUUUUCUGAAAUGCUGAUUCCAUGUAAAGCCUGUGUUUAGAACCAGAUGAGGUUCUAGUCCAUGUCCAGCCUUUAAUCCACGAACAGGUAGAUCCGUUUAGAACCAGAUGAGGUUCUAGUCCAUGUCCAGCCUCUAAUCCACUAACAGGUAGAUCCGUUUAGAACCAGACAAGGUUCUAGUCCAUGUCCAGCCUUUAAUCCACGAACAGGUAGAUCCGUUUAGAACCAGACAAGGUUCUAGUCCAUGUCCAGCCUUUAAUCCACGAACAGGUAGAUCCGUUUAGAACCAGAUGAGGUUCUAGUCCAUGUCCAGCCUCUAAUCCACUAACAGGUAGAUCUGUUUAGAACCAGAUCAGGUUCUAGUUCAUGUCCAGCCUCUAAUCCACUAACAGGUAGAUCUGUUUAGAACCAGAUCAGGUUCUAGUUCAUGUCCAACCUCUAAUCCACCAACAGGUAGAUCUGUUUAGAACCAGAUGAGGUUCUAGUCCAUGUCCAGCCUCUACUCCACUAACAGGUAGAUCUGUUUAGAACCAGAUGAGGUUCUAGUCCAUGUCCAGCCUCUACUCCACUAACAGGUAGAUCUGUUUAGAACCAGAUGAGGUUCUAGUCCAUGUCCAGCCUCUACUCCACUAACAGGUAGAUCUGUUUAGAACCUCGUUACUACAGGAGUAUUUAUACGAGCAGUGGAAGUACUGCUUUAAGGUCCGUCUACUGGUACAGUUGUCAGUUUGUUCUGUAUCGUAUCAGAACACAGGAAACAAGCUGCUGAGCCAAACAACAUGACAUCACUUCCCCUGGGACCUGGAGCAGGAUGACAUCAUUUCCUGUCAGCAGAUUGUUCCAGAGAGCUGCUCUGGGAGGAUUCUACUG
ensembl:lncRNA